GGCAGAGGGAGACCGACUCCCGUGUCCCGGACCGCGGACAUCGACCGCGGGAGGGGCAUGAGGAAAGUCCCCCCACCGUCCGGGCAGGCGACCGGGCGCAAGCCCGGGGCGGGAGACCGUCGGCUCUGGAACAGAAACGAGACCCCUCCCCCCGACCGAUGAGGUGUGCGAACCCGAAGCGAGUACGGCACGCGCCCGAAAGCGACGGGGAGUUAACCCACCGAGGGCCGCCGGCGCUGCCGGCUGACGGGGGAGAACGGAUGGAACGGCGAAUCCUCGCCGGUGCAAGCUCGGCCCGGAAGGUAGCCCGGACGACCGGCCGAGCGCUCAGCCGAAUGUCGGACGAACAGAAGGGGGCUUACUCCCCUCAGCC
rnacentral:RNase_P_RNA from 1 species